CAGCCGCCGCGGUAAUACGUAGGUGGCAAGCGUUGUCCGGAAUUAUUGGCGUAAAGGGCUCGCAGGCGGUUUCUUAAGUCUGAUGUGAAAGCCCCCGGCUCAACCGGGGAGGGUCAUUGGAAACUGGGAAACUUGAGUGCAGAAGAGGAGAGUGGAAUUCCACGUGUAGCGGUGAAAUGCGUAGAGAUGUGGAGGAACACCAGUGGCGAAGGCGACUCUCUGGUCUGUAACUGACGCUGAGGAGCGAAAGCGUGGGGAGCGAACAGGAUUAGAUACCCCAGUAGUCCCUGUCUCUUAUACA
rnacentral:rRNA from 1 species